rnacentral:rRNA from 1 species
GCUAUCUGGAACGUUACUGACGCUGAGGCGCGAAAGCUAGGGGAGCGAACGGGAUUAGAUACCCCGGUAGUCCUAGCCGUAAACGAUGGACACUAGGUGUUGGAGGCAUCGACCCCUUCAGUGCUGUUCUGCUAACGCGUUAAGUGUCCCGCCUGGGGAGUACGGCCGCAAGGUUGAAACUCAAAGGAAUUGACGGGGGCCCGCACAAGCGGUGGAGCAUGUUGGUUAAUUGGAUGAUACGCCAAGAACCUUACCAGGGUUUGACAUGUUUAGGACAGCUGGUGAAAGCCAGUUUCCGUAGCAAUACGGUCCAUUCACAGGUGGUGCAUGGUUGUCGUCAGCUCGUGUCGUGAGAUGUUGGGUUAAGUCCCGCAACGAGCGCAACCCUCACUGGAUGUUGCCAUCGGUGACGCCGGGAACUCUUCCAGGACUGCCCGAGUAAUCGGGAGGAAGGGGGGGACGACGUCAAAUCGGCAUGCCCCUUACACCCUGGGCUGCAAACGUGCUACAAUGGCCGGUACAAAGGGUAGCUAAACCGCGAGGUGGAGCCAAUCCCCCAAAGCCGGUCCCAGUUCGGAUUGGGUGUCUGCAACUCGACCCCAUGAAGUCGGAAUCGCUAGUAACCGUGGAUCAGCAACGCCACGGUGAAUACGUUCCCGGGCCUUGUACACACCGCCCGUCAAGUCACGAAAGCUGGCAGGACCCGAAGUCCGCUGCGGCAGCCGAAGGUCAGGCCAGUGAUUGGGACUAAGUCGUAACAAGGUAACCGUA